CUAAGAAUAUUCCGCAAUGGACGAAAGUCUGACGGAGCGACGCCGCGUGGAUGAAGAAGGCCGAAAGGUUGUAAAGUCCUUUUGCUGGGGAAGAAUAAGUCUGGGAGGGAAUGCCCGGAUGAUGACAUGAACCGGCGAAUAAGCCCCGGCUAACUACGUGCCAGCAGCCGCGGUAACACGUAGGGGGCGAGCGUUGUUCGGAAUUACUGGGCGUAAAGGGCAUGUAGGCGGCCUUGUAAGCCUGGCGUGAAAUUCCACGGCUUAACCGUGGGAAUGCGUUGGGAACUGCGAGGCUUGAGUGACGGAGAGGGAGCUAGAAUUCCUGGUGUAGGGGUGGAAUCUGUAGAGAUCAGGAAGAAUACCAAUGGCGAAGGCAAGCUCCUGGCCGAUGACUGACGCU
rnacentral:rRNA from 1 species